AAUAAUCAGCCAGCGUUUGGUUCCCCGGAUUAUUCCGAUCCGGGGUGAAAAGGGAAUCCGGUGCGGCGCAUUUGUGUGCCUAUUCCGGGGCUGCCCCCGCAACUGUAAGCGGUGAGCACCUGUCGAUCACGGUCACUGGCAUAGGACGCCGGGAAGGCCAGACAGGGGCGUCGACCCGCGAGCCAGGAGACCUGCCAGCGCGCGAUUUCACGU
rnacentral:ncRNA from 2 species